GGCAACUAUCAGUUGUGAUAGUCAACCACUUCUUCUCCACAAAUCUCUUCUUCUCCAAUCACUUCCCCAUUUUCCGACCACAUCUAACUUGACUACAUUUACAUUCAUGAUCCCCAAUGGCCACUUCACCGCCUCCUAUAACAAUUGAGAGUGAAGAUCAUCCUUCAUCAUUUAUUAUUGAUGUUCCAGCACUUCCGUCUGAUCCAGUCAAACAAAAGUCUGUUUGGCUUUGUGAUUACCAUCAGCCUACCACCACACUGCACAAGGCCAAUUCAACAUCUAACAACACACAUCUUAGAACCUAAGAUACACUUUCAAAUUUUAUCAAAUCAUUGUUUAUCUGUUGCUCAACCGACUUUUGUUGCAGCAAUUACAUCUUAGAACCCAAGAUAUUUGCACAGCCAGAAACUGAUCCUAAUUGGCAGGAUGCAAUGCCGGGCAUUAGAAUAAAAUAAUGCAUGGUCCCUUGUCCGUGUUCCGCAUCCCACAGGUUAAAAACAAAUAGUUGGUAGUAAAUAGGCCUACAAGAUGAAAUGUCAAAGUCCAUAAAGAAAGAGCUACAAAGCCAGAGUAGUGGCCAAAGGAUACAUACAAACGAAGAAUUUUAUUAUCAUGAAAUAUUUGCACAAUUGCACCUGUAACCAAACCUCGUAACAGUCAGGUGCCUCCUUGCAGUUGCCAAGUUGGGCAAACUGGUGGAAUUAU
rnacentral:lncRNA from 1 species